rnacentral:rRNA from 1 species
CACGCCGUAAACGAUGAGUGCUAAGUGUUAGAGGGUUUCCGCCCUUUAGUGCUGAAGUCAACGCAUUAAGCACUCCGCCUGGGGAGUACGGUCGCAAGACUGAAACUCAAAGGAAUUGACGGGGGCCCGCACAAGCGGUGGAGCAUGUGGUUUAAUUCGAAGCAACGCGAAGAACCUUACCAGGUCUUGACAUCCUCUGACACUCCUAGAGAUAGGACGUUCCCUUCGGGGACAGAGUGACAGGUGG